GAUAGACCACAAGGACGGUGUGAUAUUUCUGAAGGAGGAAGCUGGUCGCAAGAGCAGGGAUAUUGAUGAAACCAAACCAAUGUUGGUGGUAGAUAGCGCGUUGCCCAUUGAAAAGUAUGAUCGCACCCUUUUCUACAACAUAGCAUUGAGCGAAACAUCUGAUAUCAUCAAACGAGGUAAAACUGAUACCUUUUCCAUUGAUCUUUUUUAAGACAUCUUUAUGCAAUACUUAUAUGUGAAGAUUAAUGGUAUUAAUGGACUCUGGGGGGAAGUAUCACAAAGACAAAGCAAAGAUUGUUUGCAUUUGAACAGAUCCUUGUUCCUGGGAGAAUGGGUUUGCUGUGCUGGGUGAAAUUGCGUAGACUAGGCCUGUGUACUCGAGGGUUCAGGUGUAUUAGAGGAGAAUUCAGUGAAACACAAAGUCCUUACACGGCUCAGUGGGCUGGAUGCAGGGAGGAUGUUUCCCCUCUCUGAGGGGGUCUGGAGCCAGCGGAAACCCUCUGAAUGUGAGCUGCACCAUUUAGGACAGAGACAAAAAGACAUUACUGCAUGCUGAGACUAGGCAACCUUUAGAA